CUCUCCCUCCCCCUCCCUCUCCCUCUCCCUCUCCCUCUCCCUCCACGGUCUCCCUCUGAUGCCGAGCCAAGGCUGGACGGUACUGCUGCCAUCUCGGCUCACUGCAACCUCCCUGCCUGAUUCUCCUGCCUCAGCCUGCCGAGUGCCUGCGAUUGCAGGCGCGCACCGCCACGCCUGACUGGUUUUCGUUUUUUUUUGGUGGAGACGGGGUUUCGCUGUGUUGGCCGGGCUGGUCUCCAGCUCCUAGCCGCGAGUGAUCCGCCAGCCUCGGCCUCCCGAGGUGCCGGGAUUGCAGAUGGAGUCUCGUUCACUCAGUGCUCAAUGGUGCCCAGGCUGGAGUGCAGUGGCGUGAUCUCGGCUCGCUGCAACCACCUCCCAGCCGCCUGCCUUGGCCUCCCGGAGAGCCGAGAUUGCAGCCUCUGCCCGGCCGCCACCCCGUCUGGGAAGUGAGGAGCGUCUCUGCUUGGCCACCCAUCGUCUGGGAUGUGAGGAGCCCCUCUGCCUGGCUGCCCAGUCUGGAAAGUGAGGAGCGUCUCUGCCUGGCCGCCAUCCCAUCUGGGAAGCGAGGAGCGCCUCUUCCCCGCCGCCAUCCCAUCUAGGAAGUGAGGAGCGUCUCUGCCCGGCCGCCCAUCGUCUGAGAUGUGGGGAGCACCUCUGCCCCGCCGCCCUGUCUGGGAUGUGAGGAGCGCCUCUGCUGGGCCGCAGCCCUGUCUGGGAGGUGGGGAGCGUCUCUGCCCGGCCGCUCCGUCUGAGAAGUGAGGAAACCCUCUGCCUGGCAACCGCCCCGUCUGAGAAGUGAGGAGCCCCUCCGUCCGGCAACCACCCCGUCUGGGAAGUGAGGAGCGUCUCCGCCCAGCAGCCACCCCGUCCGGGAGGGAGGUGGGGGGGGUCAGCCCCCCGCCCGGCCAGCCGCCCCGUCCGGGAGGUGAGGGGCUCCUCUGCCCGGCCGCCCCUACUGGGAAGUGAGGAGCCCCUCUGCCUGGCCAGCCGCCCCAUCCGGGAGGGAGGCGGGGGGGGGGGUCGGCCAGCCGCCCCGUCCGGGAGGGAGGUGGGGGGGUCAGCCCCCCGCCCGGCCAGCCGCCCCGUCCGGGAGGUGAGGGGCUCCUCUGCCCGGCCGCCCCUACUGGGAAGUGAGGAGCCCCUCUGCCCGGCCAGACGCCCCGUCCAGGAGGGAGGUGGGGGGGGUCAGCCCCCCGCCUGGCCAGCCGCCCCGUCCGGGAGGGAGGUGGGGGGAUCAGCCCCCCGCCUGGCCAGUCGCCCCGUCCGGGAGGUGAGGGGCGCCUCUGCCCGGCCGCCCCUACUGGGAAGUGAGGACCCCUCUGCCCGGCCAGCCGCCCCGUCCGGGAGGGAGGUGGGGGGGACAGCCCCCCCGCCCAGCCAGCCGCCCUAUCCAGGAGGUGAGGGGCGCCUCUGCCCGGCCGUCCCUACUGGGAAGUGAGGAGCCCCUCUGCCUGGCCAGCCGCCCCGUCCGGGAGGGUGGUGGGGGGGUCAGCCCCCCGCCCGGCCAGCCGCCCCAUCCGGGAGGUGAGGGGCGCUUCUGCCCGGCCGCCCCUACUGGGAAGUGAGGAGCCCCUCUGCCCGGCCACGACCCCGUCUGGGAGGUGUGCCCAGCGGCUCAUUGGGGAUGGGCCAUGAUGACAAUGGCGGUUUUGUGGAAUAGAAAGGCGGGAAGGGUGGGGAAAAAAUUGAGAAAUCGGAUGGUUGCCGGGUCUCUGUGGAUAGAAGUAGACAUGGGAGACUUUUCAUUUUGUUCUGUACUAAGAAAAAUUCUUCUGCCUUGGGAUCCUGUUGAUCUGUGACCUUAUCCCCAACCCUGUGCUCUCUGAAACAUGUGCUGUGUCCACUCAGGGUUAAAUGGAUUAAGGGCGGUGCAAGAUGUGCUUUGUUAAACAGAUGCUUGAAGGCAGCAUGCUCGUUAAGAGUCAUCACCACUCCCUAAUCUUAAGUACCCAGGGACACAAACACUGCGGAAGGCCAAGGCCGCAGGGUCCUCUGCCUAGGAAAACCAGAGACCUUUGUUCACUUGUUUAUCUGCUGACCUUCCCUCCACUAUUGUCCUAUGACCCUGCCAAAUCCCCCUCUGCGAGAAACACCCAAGAAUGAUCAAUAAAAAAAAAAUAAAUUAAUUAAAAAAAAAAAAAAAAAAAAA
rnacentral:lncRNA from 1 species